GAUGAACGCUGGCGGCGUGCUUAACACAUGCAAGUCGAACGAAGCACCUUGAUUUCUUCGGAAUGAUUGGUGACUGAGUGGCGGACGGGUGAGUAACGCGUGGGUAACCUGCCUCACACAGGGGGAUAACAGUUGGAAAUGACUGCUAAUACCGCAUAAGACCACAGUACCGCAUGGUACAGUGAUAAAAACUCCGGUGGUGUGAGAUGGACCCGCGUCUGAUUAGCUAGUUGGUGAGGUAACGGCCCACCAAGGCGACGAUCAGUAGCCGACCUGAGAGGGUGACCGGCCACAUUGGGACUGAGACACGGCCCAAACUCCUACGGGAGGCAGCAGUGGGGAAUAUUGCACAAUGGGCGAAAGCCUGAUGCAGCGACGCCGCGUGAAGGAUGAAGUAUUUCGGUAUGUAAACUUCUAUCAGCAGGGAAGAAAAUGACGGUACCUGACUAAGAAGCCCCGGCUAACUACGUGCCAGCCGCCGCAGUAACAC
rnacentral:rRNA from 1 species